GAUCAUGGCUCAGGAUGAACGCUGGCGGCGUGCUUAACACAUGCAAGUCGAACGAGAGAAGAUUGGUGCUUGCACUGAUCCGAUCGAGUGGCGGACGGGUGAGUAACGCGUGGGUAACCUGCCUCAUACAGGGGAAUAACAGUUGGAAACGGCUGCUAAAACCGCAUAAGCGCACGGUAUCGCAUGAUACAGUGUGAAAAACUCCGGUGGUAUGAGAUGGACCCGCGU
rnacentral:rRNA from 1 species